rnacentral:rRNA from 1 species
ACCCCAAACCGACACAGGUGGUCAGGUAGAGAAUACCAAGGCGCUUGAGAGAACUCGGGUGAAGGAACUAGGCAAAAUGGUGCCGUAACUUCGGGAGAAGGCACGCUGAUAUGUAGGUGAAGUCCCUCGCGGAUGGAGCUGAAAUCAGUCGAAGAUACCAGCUGGCUGCAACUGUUUAUUAAAAACACAGCACUGUGCAAACACGAAAGUGGACGUAUACGGUGUGACGCCUGCCCGGUGCCGGAAGGUUAAUUG